AUGAAACAAGUGUUGAUGUCCAUGCUGUCUCUUGUUUAUUUUUGUAUGCGGGUGCAGCUGUUGUGUGCCCAAUUAUUUGCAGCUGUAUUUGAGUAUUCAAUUCCUGGCCAUGCUCAAGCAUUGUUCUUGCAGUUGGGGCAGAUUUUGGACUAUCCUAACUCUACAAAUGCGCAUCCAGAUGUCUGGGCUAUUAACAACGUAAUCUCCAGCAGCAUCUCUCUGUUGUUGCGGCUUAUAUUUAUUUGUCCAUCCUAUAGCAUUUUUCUAUCAGUGUGCUUGCUUAUUUUGACAUUGCAGUUGUACUAUAAUAUUCCUGUUAAAUUGAGAUCAUUUUAG
rnacentral:rRNA from 1 species